AAUGAAUUGCCUGACAAAAGGGUUACCUUGAUAGGGUAAAUAAUGCAAUUAGUAUUGCAUUCAUUA
rnacentral:tRNA from 4 species